AAACAAAAAGAGGAUGCAUAGAAGUCCUCCUCCCAUAUUUAUGCAUCUACAUAGAAUGGCUUUAAGCAUCCAGUCAUGCCCAAAUAUGGAAUUAGAAGCCUAAUUCUGGCAAACUUUUUAAAAAUAAUCUUGCAAGGAAUGUUUGUUGGCUU
rnacentral:sRNA from 1 species